rnacentral:rRNA from 1 species
AGCAGCCGCGGUAAUUCCAGCUCCAAUAGCGUAUAUUAAAGUUGUUGCAGUUAAAAAGCUCGUAGUUGAAUUUCGGGAUCAGACUGUCGGUCGUGCCUCGGUACGCACUGGCAUUAUUGGUUCCUACCUUCUGAAGAACCGCGAUGUCAUUAAUUUGGUGUCGUGGGGAAUCAGGACUGUUACUUUGAAAAAAUUAGAGUGUUUAAAGCAGGCGCACGCUUGAAUACAUUAGCAUGGAAUAAUGAAAUAGGACGUUUGAUUCUAUUUUGUUGGUUUCUAGGAUUGACGUAAUGAUUAAUAGGGAUAGUUGGGGGCAUUAGUAUUCAAUUGUCAGAGGUGAAAUUCUUGGAUUUAUUGAAGACUAACUACUGCGAAAGCAUUUGCCAAGGAUGUUUUCAUUAAUCAAGAACGAAAGUUAGGGGAUCGAAGACGAUCAGAUACCGUCGUAGUCUUAACCAUAAACUAUGCCGACUAGGGAUCGGAUGAUGUUAAUUUUUUAAUGACUCA